rnacentral:rRNA from 1 species
AUUGAACGCUGGCGGCAGGCCUAACACAUGCAAGUCGAACGGAUCCUUCGGGAUUAGUGGCGGACGGGUGAGUAACACGUGGGAACAUGCCCUUUGGUUCGGAACAACUCAGGGAAACUUGAGCUAAUACCGGAUGUGCCCUUCGGGGGAAAGAUUUAUCGCCAUUGGAGCGGCCCGCGUCUGAUUAGCCAGUUGGUGAGGUAAAGGCUCACCAAGGCGACGAUCAGUAGCUGGUCUGAGAGGAUGAUCAGCCACAUUGGGACUGAGACACGGCCCAAACUCCUACGGGAGGCAGCAGUGGGGAAUCUUGCGCAAUGGGCGAAAGCCUGACGCAGCCAUGCCGCGUGAAUGAUGAAGGUCUUAGGAUUGUAAAAUUCUUUCACUGGGGACGAUAAUGACGGUACCCGGAGAAGAAGCCCCGGCUACUUCGUGCCAGCCGCCGCCGUAAAAC